rnacentral:lncRNA from 1 species
CGGCAGAGGCUUGACACUAUCAAGCCAAAGGCGUUCGAAGGCCUCAGGAAAUUCAGAACACUGAAGCUGUCGCACAACUCCCUCACGACCCUCGAAAACGCGGCCUUCGCUGGACUCGCCAACCUCGAAGUCUUAGAACUGCAAGGCAACGCGUUGAAGGCGCUCACUCACCAGCUCUUCAAGCCAC